rnacentral:rRNA from 1 species
UACGUAGGGUGCGAGCGUUGCCCGGAUUUAUUGGGCGUAAAGGGCGCGUAGGCGGUCACGCACGUCCGUUGUGAAAACUCGAGGCUCAACCUCGAGACGUCGGUGGAAACCGUGUGGCUAGAGUCCGGAAGAGGAGAGUGGAAUUCCCGGUGUAGCGGUGAAAUGCGCAGAUAUCGGGAGGAACACCGGUGGCGAAGGCGGUUCUCUGGGCCUUACCUGACGCUGAGGAGCGAAAGCGUGGGGAGCGAACAGG